UACAGAGGGUGCAAGCGUUAAUCGGAAUUACUGGGCGUAAAGGGCGCGUAGGCGGUUUACUAAGUUAGGUGUGAAAUGCCCGGGCUUAACCUGGGACGUGCAUUUAAUACUGGUAGGCUAGAGUAGAGUAGAGGGAAGUGGAAUUUCCGGUGUAGCGGUGAAAUGCGUAGAUAUCGGAAAGAACACUCGUGGCGAAGGCGACUUCCUGGACUCAUACUGACGCUGAGGCGCGAAAGCGUGGGGAGCAAACAGG
rnacentral:rRNA from 1 species